rnacentral:rRNA from 1 species
AUACGGAGGGUCCGAGCGUUAUUCGGAAUCAUUGGGUUUAAAGGGUCCGUAGGCGGGAAUCUAAGUCAGUGGUGAAAUCUUGCAGCUCAACUGUUAAAUUGCCAUUGAUACUGGAUUUCUUGAAUUAGUGUGAGGUGGUUAGAAUGUGUAGUGUAGCGGUGAAAUGCAUAGAUAGUACACAGAAUACCAAUUGCGAAGGCAGAUCACUAACACUAUAUUGACGCUAAGGGACGAAAGCGUGGGGAGCGAACAGGAUUAGAAACCCCGGUAGUCC